rnacentral:rRNA from 1 species
UACGUAGGUGGCAAGCGUUGUCCGGAAUUACUGGGCGUAAAGCGUGCGCAGGCGGUUCGCAAAGACAGGUGUGAAAUCCCCGGGCUUAACCUGGGAACUGCGCUUGUAACUAGCGGGCUAGAGUGCGGCAGAGGGGGGUGGAAUUCCACGUGUAGCAGUGAAAUGCGUAGAUAUGUGGAGGAACACCGAUGGCGAAGGCGGCCCCCUGGGUCGACACUGACGCUCAUGCACAAAAGCGUGGGGAGCAAACAGG